UACGAAGGGGGCUAGCGUUGCUCGGAAUUACUGGGCGUAAAGGGCGCGUAGGCGGGUCGUUUAGUUAGAGGUGAAAGCCCAGGGCUCAACCCUGGAAUUGCCUUUAAUACUGGCGGCCUUGAGUAUGGCAGAGGGGCGUGGAAUUCCGGGUGGAGCGGUGAAAUGCGUAGAGAUCCGGAGGAACACCGACGGCGAAGGCAGCGCCCUGGACGACACCUGACGCUCAGGCACGAAAGCUGGGGGAGCAAACAGG
rnacentral:rRNA from 1 species